CAAACUUUUUUGGGCAACGUUCACAGUAUACUGUAUGGUUACCAAUAGAUCACCUGGAAAUUCGGUGUCCUUCUCAUUAUCUAUCAGCAUGUACUCGGCGGUAAAAACAUCCUUUGAAGGAUUUUGAAUGAUGGGUCCCAAAAAUCUUUUUCUGUGGAAAGAACCGAUACUACUAUGAUUCGCAUUAACGCCGUUAUUAACGGUUAACUGAUAGUCUUUGUUGCAUAAACUAAACUUACCCUUCGAAAUACGAUUAGCAUACCUGCCGAUCGUGGCGCCUAUAUAAGCACUAUCAGGAUUCAAAUACCCUUCCUCAUUUUCAUAGCCAAGAACAACUGAUUGUCCGUUCACUUUCAGGUCAACAAUGCUGGCGCCCAAAUUGGCAAACGUGGCUUGAAAUCUGGUGCCGGCACCAAUAGUCACAAAUCUUGCGUCAUAACGCAUAUCUUCAGCGGAAAAUCUGGCCUCGACACCCCUUAACUGGUAACCAAAAGGAUUCUCAGUAGUCCAUUUCCAUAAAUCCUUGCAGGAGUCUUCAACCUGCAACUCGGUCUGCCAUUUCAGUUCGCGUUUGGCCCUAUCUGGUUUAGCCGUCAAGUUCAAAACAUCACCUGCUCUUCUGCCCGUAACUUUGUAUGGAAGAUCAAUACCAGAAGCUUUGCAGAAUGCAUGAUAAACUUCAAAAACUGUAGAACCUUUACCGGAACCCAAGUUCCACUCACGACACAAACCUUCAUUUUCAUUGUAGGCCUCUAGGUAUUGCAGGGCUGCAAUAUGACCUUUUGCUAGAUCAACUACGUGGAUAUAAUCCCUGAUCGGGGUACCAUCUCUGGAAUCAUAAUCGUCUCCGAAGAUGUAAAGCUUCUCGCGCCUACCAACAGCUACUUGAGCCAUAUAUGGCAACAAAUUGUUUGGUAUACCUAGCGGAUCUUCUCCGAUUAAUCCAGAGGGAUGUGCGCCAAUUGGGUUAAAAUAACGCAAGAUAGCAAACUUCCAACUUUUUUUGUCGCUAUUGUAAAGAUCAUUCAAGAUAUUCUCAAUGGCGUAUUUCGUAUGACCAUACGGAUUAGUAGGCCCUAAGGGACAUUCUUCUGGGAUAGGAAUCAUAUUUGGGAAUCUCGUAGCAUCACCAUAGACAGUAGCAGAAGAUGAAAAAACAAAUUUGGAAACGUUGUAUUGUUGCAUUAACUCUAAUAAAACGACAGUUCCCAAAAUGUUAUUGUGAUAGUAUCUCAGCGGGAUUUGUGUAGAUUCACCUACAGCCUUUAAACCAGCAAAGUGAAUUACCGAAUCAAUUUUAUAUUCUUUGAAAACCUUUUCCAGACCUUUUCGGUCACACAAAUCAACCUCAUAGAAGGGAAUGUGAUGCUUGGUCAAGACCUCUAACCUGGCUACAGAAUCAUAAGUUGAAUUCGACAGGUUAUCAGCAACAACACAGUCAUAUCCAUUCUCAAUUAGCUCUACCACAGUGUGUGAACCAAUGUAUCCAGCACCACCUGUAACCAAAACAAUUUUAGAAGUACUUUCACUUUGUAACUGAGCUGUCAUUUAUAUUGAAUUUUCAAAAAUUCUUACUUUUUUUUUGGAUGGACGCAAAGAAGUUUAAUAAUCAUAUUACAUGGCAUUACCACCAUAUACAUAUCCAUAUCUAAUCUUACUUAUAUGUUGUGGAAAUGUAAAGAGCCCCAUUAUCUUAGCCUAAAAAAACCUUCUCUUUGGAACUUUCAGUAAUACGCUUAACUGCUCAUUGCUAUAUUGAAGUACGGAUUAGAAGCCGCCGAGCGGGCGACAGCCCUCCGACGGAAGACUCUCCUCCGUGCGUCCUCGUCUUCACCGGUCGCGUUCCUGAAACGCAGAUGUGCCUCGCGCCGCACUGCUCCGAACAAUAAAGAUUCUACAAUACUAGCUUUUAUGGUUAUGAAGAGGAAAAAUUGGCAGUAACCUGGCCCCACAAACCUUCAAAUUAACGAAUCAAAUUAACAACCAUAGGAUGAUAAUGCGAUUAGUUUUUUAGCCUUAUUUCUGGGGUAAUUAAUCAGCGAAGCGAUGAUUUUUGAUCUAUUAACAGAUAUAUAAAUGGAAAAGCUGCAUAACCACUUUAACUAAUACUUUCAACAUUUUCAGUUUGUAUUACUUCUUAUUCAAAUGUCAUAAAAGUAUCAACAAAAAAUUGUUAAUAUACCUCUAUACUUUAACGUCAAGGAGAAAAAACUAUAAUGACUAAAUCUCAUUCAGAAGAAGUGAUUGUACCUGAGUUCAAUUCUAGCGCAAAGGAAUUACCAAGACCAUUGGCCGAAAAGUGCCCGAGCAUAAUUAAGAAAUUUAUAAGCGCUUAUGAUGCUAAACCGGAUUUUGUUGCUAGAUCGCCUGGUAGAGUCAAUCUAAUUGGUGAACAUAUUGAUUAUUGUGACUUCUCGGUUUUACCUUUAGCUAUUGAUUUUGAUAUGCUUUGCGCCGUCAAAGUUUUGAACGAGAAAAAUCCAUCCAUUACCUUAAUAAAUGCUGAUCCCAAAUUUGCUCAAAGGAAGUUCGAUUUGCCGUUGGACGGUUCUUAUGUCACAAUUGAUCCUUCUGUGUCGGACUGGUCUAAUUACUUUAAAUGUGGUCUCCAUGUUGCUCACUCUUUUCUAAAGAAACUUGCACCGGAAAGGUUUGCCAGUGCUCCUCUGGCCGGGCUGCAAGUCUUCUGUGAGGGUGAUGUACCAACUGGCAGUGGAUUGUCUUCUUCGGCCGCAUUCAUUUGUGCCGUUGCUUUAGCUGUUGUUAAAGCGAAUAUGGGCCCUGGUUAUCAUAUGUCCAAGCAAAAUUUAAUGCGUAUUACGGUCGUUGCAGAACAUUAUGUUGGUGUUAACAAUGGCGGUAUGGAUCAGGCUGCCUCUGUUUGCGGUGAGGAAGAUCAUGCUCUAUACGUUGAGUUCAAACCGCAGUUGAAGGCUACUCCGUUUAAAUUUCCGCAAUUAAAAAACCAUGAAAUUAGCUUUGUUAUUGCGAACACCCUUGUUGUAUCUAACAAGUUUGAAACCGCCCCAACCAACUAUAAUUUAAGAGUGGUAGAAGUCACUACAGCUGCAAAUGUUUUAGCUGCCACGUACGGUGUUGUUUUACUUUCUGGAAAAGAAGGAUCGAGCACGAAUAAAGGUAAUCUAAGAGAUUUCAUGAACGUUUAUUAUGCCAGAUAUCACAACAUUUCCACACCCUGGAACGGCGAUAUUGAAUCCGGCAUCGAACGGUUAACAAAGAUGCUAGUACUAGUUGAAGAGUCUCUCGCCAAUAAGAAACAGGGCUUUAGUGUUGACGAUGUCGCACAAUCCUUGAAUUGUUCUCGCGAAGAAUUCACAAGAGACUACUUAACAACAUCUCCAGUGAGAUUUCAAGUCUUAAAGCUAUAUCAGAGGGCUAAGCAUGUGUAUUCUGAAUCUUUAAGAGUCUUGAAGGCUGUGAAAUUAAUGACUACAGCGAGCUUUACUGCCGACGAAGACUUUUUCAAGCAAUUUGGUGCCUUGAUGAACGAGUCUCAAGCUUCUUGCGAUAAACUUUACGAAUGUUCUUGUCCAGAGAUUGACAAAAUUUGUUCCAUUGCUUUGUCAAAUGGAUCAUAUGGUUCCCGUUUGACCGGAGCUGGCUGGGGUGGUUGUACUGUUCACUUGGUUCCAGGGGGCCCAAAUGGCAACAUAGAAAAGGUAAAAGAAGCCCUUGCCAAUGAGUUCUACAAGGUCAAGUACCCUAAGAUCACUGAUGCUGAGCUAGAAAAUGCUAUCAUCGUCUCUAAACCAGCAUUGGGCAGCUGUCUAUAUGAAUUAUAAGUAUACUUCUUUUUUUUACUUUGUUCAGAACAACUUCU